AGGACUAACGCUGGCGGCGUGCCUAACACAUGCAAGUCGAACGAGGUAGCAAUACCUAGUGGCAGACGGGUGAGUAACGCGUGGUCAACCUACCUCUUAGUGGGGGAUAACUAGCCGAAAGGUUAGCUAAUACCGCAUACGAUCGUCGCGAGGCAUCUCGUGACGAUGAAAGGAGCAAUUCGCUAAGAGAGGGGACUGCGUCCCAUUAGUUAGUUGGUGGGGUAAUGGCCCACCAAGACUCCGAUGGGUAGCUGGCUUGAGAGAGCGACCAGCCACACUGGAACUGAGACACGGUCCAGACUCCUACGGAGGCAGCAGUGAGGAAUUUUCCGCAAUGGGCGCAAGCCUGACGGAGCGACGCCGCGUGUGGGGAAGAAGGCCUUCGGGUCGUAAACCACUGUCGAAGGGGACGAUAUUGACGGUACCCUUGGAGGAAGCCCCGGCUAACUACGCGCCAGCAGCCGC
rnacentral:rRNA from 1 species